AUCAACGCUGGCGGCGCGCUUAACACAUGCAAGUCGAACGAGAAAGCCCCCUUCGGGGGGUGAGUAAAGUGGCGAACGGGUGAGUAACACGUGGAUUACCUGCCCUUGAGUGGGGAAUAACUCCGGGAAACUGGGGAUAAUACCGCAUACGAUCCUUCGGGAUGAAAGUCUUCGGACGCUCAAGGAGGGGUCCGCGGCCGAUUAGCUAGUUGGCGGGGUAAAAGCCCACCAAGGCAAAGAUCGGUAGCCGGCCUGAGAGGGCGCACGGUCACACUGGCACUGAGACACGGGCCAGACUCCUACGGGAGGCAGCAGUGGGGAAUCUUGGACAAUGGGGGAAACCCUGAUCCAGCGACGCCGCGUGAGUGAUGAAGCCUUUCGGGGUGUAAAGCUCUUUCAGCGGGGACAAUAAUGAUGGUACCCGCACAAGCAGCUGCGGCUAACUACGU
rnacentral:rRNA from 1 species